GCCCGGGUGGCGGAAUUGGCAGACGCGGGGGGCUUAAACCCCCCUUCUCGCAAGAGAGUGCGGGUUCGAACCCCGCCCCGGGCACCG
rnacentral:tRNA from 1 species